AUUGAACGCUGGCGGCAGGCCUAACACAUGCAAGUCGAACGAGUGGCGGACGGGUGAGUAAUGUCUGGGAAACUGCCUGAUGGAGGGGGAUAACUACUGGAAACGGUAGCUAAUACCGCAUACCAUCGGAUGUGCCCAGAUGGGAUUAGCUAGUAGGUGGGGUAACGGCUCACCUAGGCGACGAUCCCUAGCUGGUAUGAGAGGAUGACCAGCCACACUGGAACUGAGAAACGGGCCAGACUCCUACGGGAGGCAGCAGUGGGGAAUAUUGCACAAUGGGCGCAAGCCUGAUGCAGCCAGGCCGCGUGUAUGAAGAAGGCCUUCGGGUUGUAAAGUACUUUCAGCGAGGAGGCGUUACCCGCAGAAGAAGCACCGGCUAACUCCGUGCCAGCAGCCGCGGUAAUUC
rnacentral:rRNA from 1 species